UACGUAGGGCGCAAGCGUUGUCCGGAAUUAUUGGGCGUAAAGAGCUCGUAGGCGGUCUGUUACGUCCGCUGUGAAAACCCAGGGCUUAACCCUGGGCUUGCAGUGGAUACGGGCAGACUAGAGGCAGGUAGGGGAGAAUGGAAUUCCCGGUGUAGCGGUGAAAUGCGCAGAUAUCGUAAGGAAGACCAGUGGCGAAGGCGGGUCUCUGGACAGUUCCUGACGCUGAGGCACGAAGGUCAGGGGAGCAAACGGG
rnacentral:rRNA from 1 species